GGACUUUGUUAGACCAAAGACUGAGCCUUUUUUCAGGCUUAGAGCCAGGCAGACAUCUCCCACUCAGUCACUACACAAAUUGGCAUUAUAAGACCCCAGAUAAACACUUGUGAGCAGCAUAAAAACAGACUGGAAUACCCUCCAGUAUGAAUCCUCUGUAACUGCCAUGGGACAUGGAAGGAAAAGGUGAGUGGAACUGCUUUUUCUUGUUUAAACACACUCACUAUAAACUAUAAAAGAGUUACUAUUUCUCCCCUCUCCUUAACAGCAUCCUGGGUGACCAGCAGAUGAGCUGAAGUGGAAGGAGGGGUGUGGAAGGUGCUGCUACUCCUUUCCAUACAGGGAUGGAAAUGGGAUGAGUUUGUGACCCCAGUGCAGCUGAGCAGCUGGAGAGUUCAUGCAGGUUAUUCUUCUCCAGAUCGAGAACGAGAAAAAAGAGCUAAACAAAAAAAAAAAAAAAAGAAAAAAAAAAAGAAAAAAAAAGAAAAUACAGAAAAAAAAGAGAAGUCUGCCUCUUCCUGCCCCAGCUCUCUCCCAGGCAGUUCAUCUUACACUGCUGCUCCCUCCUGGCCCACAGGUCUCAGGCUUGGAUUGUGCAUGGGCAUAGAGCAGCAUGCUGUUCAAACAAACCAAUGCAUCAUUUGAGAUGCCUGUGGCCCCUGCUGUGUCCCAUCUAGAUAUAUUAAUAGGUCACAAGUUAAACCUGGGUGUCUGCUUGCUCACUUUUUGAAAAUAAAGCUUAUGUGCCAGGCGUUGUCCAUAAGGUCACUCGCACAAGGCGUCUAUUUAGUCUCAGAGUCGGCAAAGCCAGAUCAGUGGUCUGGGCAGAAGAAACAGCUACUUGAACUUUAUAGGUUAAGAAAAUCCCCAGCUAAAGUGGAUCAUCGUUGUUAAGUUUCCAGUUACAUCCAAAGAAAUGUCAACACUGAUGUUUUGCGAUCGGGAUGGCAGCAUUGGAAAGAAAAUGACCUCUCAGGAAAAGAAGGAAAUUAGUUCUCCAAAUAGCAUAUUCAGCUGUGGAGUGUCAGGCUUCUCUUGCAACUGGAUGCAAAGCAAUCACCCCAGCUGUACACUCACCAAGGCUGGCCAAAUUUGGUUGAAGAAAUGGGACAGGAGAGGCAUUUCUUCUGAAAGGUCAUCAGUAAUACAAACAUACUUCUUAUAAGACCUUCUCAGUCCUUGUCUGGCUCCAGUUCCACAGGAGAGAUGAUCAUGUACACCCUUGCCUGUUCUGUCUGCACAGCUCUGGUCUGUGCUGAACAUGUUGUACCACCACUCACUUGUAAUUUAAAGCUGUUGCCUGCUCCAAACUGGCCAAAGGAUGAGAAGAGAUGCCAGAUCAGAAAAUAGAAGUAGCCACAGAGCGUCUGGGACAAGAAGAGCCACUGUAUGAGGGCAACCAAAAAUACACUUUUCUUUCACUUGGCACAUUCACAGAUAUCAGCCAUGGAUGAAGACCCAAGAGGAGAAUGUGCCAACAGGAACCCAGACUGCAGCCCCUGGGGAGAGCAAAAAGAGUUGGCAGGCAUUUCUUGCUGUACCUUAACGACCAUUGUGAAGCUGUAUUUCUUUAGCAAAAUAAGAGAUUGCUAGACUGAACAAAGGAAUAACACAAGCAAAGGUGUUAGAAGAUAAAGCCAAAAGAAACAUUCAAACAAAAACUAAUAUACUAUUAACAUUUAAUAAAGUGCUUUGCCUUACCUUCUUUGGGAUGUAG
ensembl:lncRNA